GUGGGGAAUAUUCCGCAAUGGACGAAAGUCUGACGGAGCAACGCCGCGUGAGUGAUGAAGGUUUUCGGACUGUAAAGCUCUGUUGUUUGGGACGAAAGUGCCUGUUGCGAACAGUUACGGGUAUUGACGGUACUAAACGAGGAAGCCACGGCUAACUACGUGCCAGCAGCCGCGGUAAUACGUAGGUGGCAAGCGUUGUCCGGAAUUAUUGGGCGUAAAGAGCAUGUAGGCGGGAAUCUAAGUCUGUUGUUAAAAUGCGGGGCUCAACCCCGUAUUGCGAUGGAAACUGGGUGUCUUGAGUGCAGGAGAGGAAAGGGGAAUUCCCAGUGUAGCGGUGAAAUGCGUAGAUAUUGGGAGGAACACCAGUGGCGAAGGCGCCUUUCUGGACUGUGUCUGACGCUGAGAUGCGAAAGCCAGGGUAGCGAACGGGAUUAGAUACCCGUGUAGUCC
rnacentral:rRNA from 1 species